rnacentral:rRNA from 1 species
AGUCGAGCGAAGCGCUGUUUUCAGAAUCUUCGGAGGAAGAGGACAGUGACUGAGCGGCGGACGGGUGAGUAACGCGUGGGCAACCUGCCUCAUACAGGGGGAUAACAGUUAGAAAUGACUGCUAAUACCGCAUAAGCGCACAGGACCGCAUGGUGUAGUGUGAAAAACUCCGGUGGUAUGAGAUGGACCCGCGUCUGAUUAGGUAGUUGGUGGGGUAAAGGCCUACCAAGCCGACGAUCAGUAGCCGACCUGAGAGGGUGACCGGCCACAUUGGGACUGAGACACGGCCCAAACUCCUACGGGAGGCAGCAGUGGGGAAUAUUGCACAAUGGGGGAAACCCUGAUGCAGCGACGCCGCGUGAAGGAAGAAGUAUUUCGGUAUGUAAACUUCUAUCAGCAGGGAAGAAGAUGACGGUACCUGAGUAAGAAGCACCGGCUAAAUACGUGCCAGCAGCCGCGGUAAUACGUAUGGUGCAAGCGUUAUCCGGAUUUACUGGGUGUAAAGGGAGCGUAGACGGAUAGGCAAGUCUGGAGUGAAAACCCAGGGCUCAACCCUGGGACUGCUUUGGAAACUGCAGAUCUGGAGUGCCGGAGAGGUAAGCGGAAUUCCUAGUGUAGCGGUGAAAUGCGUAGAUAUUAGGAGGAACACCAGUGGCGAAGGCGGCUUACUGGACGGUGACUGACGUUGAGGCUCGAAAGCGUGGGGAGCAAACAGGAUUAGAUACCCUGGUAGUCCACGCCGUAAACGAUGACUACUAGGUGUCGGUGUGCAAAGCACAUCGGUGCCGCAGCAAACGCAAUAAGUAGUCCACCUGGGGAGUACGUUCGCAAGAAUGA